UUAUUUGAGAGUUUGAUCCUGGCUCAGGACGAACGCUGGCGGCGUGCCUAAUACAUGCAAGUUGAGCGCUGAAGGUUGGUACUUGUACCGACUGGAUGAGCAGCGAACGGGUGAGUAACGCGUGGGGAAUCUGCCUUUGAGCGGGGGAC
rnacentral:rRNA from 1 species